UACGUAGGGGGCGAGCGUUGUCCGGAAUUACUGGGCGUAAAGGGCGUGUAGGCGGCCGAUCAAGUCAGGUGUGAAAUUUCAGGGCUCAACCCUGAACGUGCAUUUGAAACUGGUUGGCUUGAGUGCAGGAGAGGAAAGUGGAAUUCCCAGUGUAGCGGUGAAAUGCGUAGAUAUUGGGAGGAACACCAGUGGCGAAGGCGACUUUCUGGCCUGCAACUGACGCUGAGGCGCGAAAGCUAGGGGAGCAAACAGGAUUAGAUACCCCCGUAGUCC
rnacentral:rRNA from 1 species